UGGGGAAUAUUGCACAAUGGGGGAAACCCUGAUGCAGCGACGCCGCGUGAGGGAAGAAGGUUUUCGGAUUGUAAACCUCUGUCUUUGGUGACGAUAAUGACGGUAGCCAAAGAGGAAGCUACGGCUAACUACGUGCCAGCAGCCGCGGUAAUACGUAGGUGGCAAGCGUUGUCCGGAAUUACUGGGUGUAAAGGGAGCGUAGGCGGGGAGACAAGUUGAAUGUUUAAACUAUCGGCUUAACCGGUAGUCGCGUUCAAAACUGUUUUUCUUGAGUGAAGUAGAGGCAGGCGGAAUUCCUAGUGUAGCGGUGAAAUGCGUAGAUAUUAGGAGGAACACCAGUGGCGAAGGCGGCCUGCUGGGCUUUAACUGACGCUGAGGCUCGAAAGCGUGGGUAGCAAACAGG
rnacentral:rRNA from 1 species